UCCUUUAUAUAAGUAUUACAAGAUAAAGAUAAAUGGAAAGUAUCCAAAACCUAAACACACUAGGAUUAGGAAAACUACUAAUACAUAAUAAUGGAAAGAUUACAUCUACUAGGAAAAUGAAAGGGUUUCUUUUUCUCCAAACUUUGUGGCCGCCAUUCUCUCUCUCUCCUGAAGUCGGCUUUCUCUCCCCUCUCUCUAGGGCUUCGGCCAUCUCUCCAUCUUCUAGGUAUUGGGCCGAUCUCAGUUCGGGUCUGGUUAAUGGCAAUCCACUCCAUGAUUUAUAACAAUAUAUAUAAUAUUGAUAAAAACACCAAUAUUCUGCGGAACUUCUUUUUGGGAGUGUGUAUUCCUUUUUCUGAAAUUUAUACUUUUGAAAUUAUUUAUAUAAUUUUUAGCUUCUUGAAGUAUGUAGUCCAGAUUUGAUUUGAUCCCGUAUCGUUGUUUGACUUUCAUUAUUUUACUCAGGUCUUUUGAUUCACACAAAUGAAGGAGACUAAAUUUAAAUACACCUAAUCUAUUAAAAUAUAGUCCUAUUUGAAAUUACCUUGGCAUGUUUUAAGUUUGGGACUAUUGAACAAAAUGCAACAUGUAUUAUAUAUAUUUAUUUGAUGACCGAUAUAUUUACAUUAAACAAACUUUAAUCAUUGGAUUAAUAUUAAAAUCUAUCCAACAUCUAGGUCAUAUCUAGCGUCGUCAUCUUCUCCUCUUCCUAUGUUCCACCAUCAUUACCUCCGACCACUAUACACAGAUACAUUCGCAUGAAACUAAGAACAAAGUGAAUUAGGAUUGGUGGACUGAUUCGAUCAUGAGUUUUUGCUUCUUUCAAUCAUUUAGAGGAAGGAAUCUUCAGAUAUCAGGUCCUGUUGAUCCAUACAAAAGGCCAUAUAAGUGUAUUAGAUUUGUUCCAUUCGAUUUCAUGUUCUACCUUUCAAUCCUCAAAUUUCUUUCUAGAGUUUCACUGAGUAGGCUGAAUCAUGAACAACAAAAAAAUCUCUGCAAUUUUUUUCUGGGUAUACAAAACUUUUAAAUAUGGUACACAUAUCUCUACAAAGUUGUUGUCUUCAAAAACAAAAAGAAAACUCACAAUUGAGGCCAUUGCUCAAUCAUUGCUAAAGGAUCAAGACUUACCUAGAAAAAUAAGAAAUAACAAUCGGGUUCUUAGAAAACUAUAUGCAUUUUGAUGGCAAGAAACAAAGAUGAGAGCUCAGGUUAGUAUCUGUGAUUUCUACCCUUGAUUGUUGAUCAUCCCAUGAACUCUUUCAUGAAUUUUCUCUUGAAUCAAAGUAUCAGCUGCUAUGUUUUGUUUAAUGCAGAGCUCAGGUCAGUCACUAUCUGAGUGGAGCGGAGACAAAAGUGAAUUCUCGAAUCAAGUCCAAAAGGUAUUUAGAAGAUGUGAAAGCUCCUAAGCAAGCUUUCCCUUCACACGUUUCUGUCAUGGUUUUAGAGGUGCUGAUCAGGCAUUCAAAAGAUCAAGGUCAUUUGCCUGUUAAAUCUACUCAGUUCAGACUUGAUCUUCUCAAGAAUGUUGAGAGCAAUGCUGAGGUCAAAGUUUUGGAUGUUGAUGCCCUUUCCAUAUCACACACCCAAGUGAACUAAACAGCGAAACAGAGGUGGAGGACCUAUCGUGUCCUGUAAGAAUCCAUAGUAUGUUCUUUAUGAUGCUACUCUUUUUUCAACUUUUGUUUCAGUCACAAUGUGCUGACUCUCUCUUUUUUUUUGCUGCUUACAUAUCAAACACAUGCCACAUUGAGUUGAUUUUGUCAAAGAAGGAAGAGCCUGUGAAGAAAUAGCGAAGCCAAAGAAAGGAGCUUCUUCUUGAGCUUUCGUGAUCGUUUGUGUUACAACGUUUGAUACACUUUGUUUACCUUUUUUUCACUUUGUUUACUUCUCUUUCAUUUAGACAAGUAACCGUGAUUGUAAAGAUAUAAUGAUGAUUGGUUUCUGGAUUACUCAAGCUUUAAACUCUUUACGCUUUUGAGGUA